rnacentral:rRNA from 1 species
UAGUAACGGCGAGUGAAGCGGCAACAGCUCAAAUUUGAAAUCUGGCUCUUUCAGGGUCCGAGUUGUAAUUUGCAGAGGGCGCUUUGGCGUUGGCAGCGGUCCAAGUUCUUUGGAACAGGACGUCACAGAGGGUGAGAAUCCCGUACGUGGUCGCUAUCCUUCGCCGUGUAAAGCCCCUUCGACGAGUCGAGUUGUUUGGGAAUGCAGCUCUAAAUGGGAGGUAAAUUUCUUCUAAAGCUAAAUACUGGCCAGAGACCGAUAGCGCACAAGUAGAGUGAUCGAAAGAUGAAAAGCACUUUGGAAAGAGAGUCAAACAGCACGUGAAAUUGUUGAAAGGGAAGCGCUUGCAGCCAGACUUGCCUGUAGUUGCUUAUCCGGACUUUUGUCCGGUGCACUCUUCUGCGGGCAGGCCAGCAUCAGUUUGGGCGGUUAGAUAAAGGUCUCUGUCAUGUACCUCUCUUCGGGGAGGCCUUAUAGGGGAGACGACAUGUAACCAGCCUGGACUGAGGUCCGCGCAUCUGCUAGGAUGCUGGCGUAAUGGCUGUAAGCGGCCCGUCUUGAAACACGGACCAAGGAGUCUAACAUCUAUGCGAGUGUUUGGGUGUCAAGCCCAGACGCGUAAUGAAAGUGAACGGAGGUAGGAACCCUUUGGGUGCACUAUCGACCGAUCCUGAUGUCUUCGGAAGGAUUUGAGUAAGAGCAUGGCUGUUGGGACCCGAAAGAUGGUGAACUAUGCUUGAAUAGGGUGAAGCCAGAGGAAACUCUGGUGGAGGCUCGCAGCGGUUCUGACGUGCAAAUCGAUCGUCAAAUUUGGGCAU